UACGAAGGGUGCAAACGUUGCUCGGAAUUAUUGGGCGUAAAGCGCACGUAGGCGGCUUGGCAAGUCGGAUGUGAAAUCCCUCGGCUCAACCAAGGAAGUGCAUCCGAAACUGCCGAGCUUGAGUACUUAAGAGGAUCGCGGAAUUCCCGGUGUAGAGGUGAAAUUCGUAGAUAUCGGGAGGAACACCAGUGGCGAAGGCGGCGAUCUGGGAAGAUACUGACGCUGAGGCGCGAAAGCCAGGGGAGCAAACGGG
rnacentral:rRNA from 1 species